rnacentral:rRNA from 1 species
GACGGAGGGGGCUAGCGUUGUUCGGAAUGACUGGGCGUAAAGGGCGCGUAGGCGGCCUUUUAAGUGAGGCGUGAAAGCCCUGGGCUUAACCCAGGAGGUGCGUUUCAUACUGAAAGGCUUGAGUACGAGAGAGGAAAGUGGAAUUCCUAGUGUAGAGGUGAAAUUCGUAGAUAUUAGGAAGAACACCAGUGGCGAAGGCGGCUUUCUGGCUCAUAACUGACGCUGAGGUGCGAAAGCGUGGGGAGCAAACAGG